rnacentral:rRNA from 1 species
UAGGAAUAUUCGUCAAUGGGGGAAACCCUGAACGAGCAAUGCCGCGUGAACGAUGAAGGCCCUAUGGGUUGUAAAGUUCUGUUGUUUGGAACGAAUAACUAGAAGAGGAAAUGCUUUUAGUCUGACGGUACCAUUCAAGAAAGCCACGGCUAACUAC